GCACGGCAAGGCUUGGGGAUGGUGUAUGGGUGUUGUGUGGAAGGUGUGGAGAUGAAGAAUGGUGGUAGAAAUCGGCUGGAAUGAAGGAAAGGUGCGGCAAGAUGGGAAAUAGGGUUUUGGACGAAUUUCUGAAUAUGGAGAGGGUGGUGUUCGGCCAAGGGAGGUAAAACACAUAUAUAUAGGCAGCCAAACCCUAAAGAAAUCAGGUUAGACAAAUGGGCUAGGGUUUAGGUGCGGCUAGGGUUAGGAAAUCCACCAAAAACUAGGGUUUCUAGAACAUUAGGUGCGGCAUGGGCUUAGGGUAAGUAAUCAGAUUUUUUUCAUGUGAACAAGGCCUAGGUGCGGAUGAUUAAGUGGGCUAGGGCUAGGGUUAGGUGCGGCAUAGGUCCAAGAGGCAAAGAUGGG
rnacentral:lncRNA from 1 species